rnacentral:rRNA from 1 species
GAAUCAACGCUGGCGGCGUGCCUCAGACAUGCAAGUCGAACGCGAAAGUUCCCUUCGGGGAACAAGUAGAGUGGCGCACGGGUGAGUAACACGUAGGUAAUCUACCUUCGGAUGGGGAAUAAGCAACCGGAAACGGUUGCUAAUACCGCAUAAUGCAGCGGCACCUAAUGGUGACAGUUGUUAAAGCGGGGGAUCGCAAGACCUCGCGUCUGAAGAGGAGCCUGCGGCGGAUUAGCUAGUUGGUAGGGUAACGGCCUACCAAGGCGACGAUCCGUAGCCGGCCUGAGAGGGCGGUCGGCCACACUGACACUGACAUACGGGUCAGACUCCUACGGGAGGCAGCAGUCGGGAAUUUUGGGCAAUGGGCGAAAGCCUGACCCAGCAACGCCGCGUGAAGGAUGAAAUCCCUCGGGAUGUAAACUUCGCAAGAACGGGAAGAAUAAGACGGUGCUAACACCACCGGCGAUGACGGUACUGUUUGUAAGCUCCGGCUAACUCCGUGCCAGCAGCCGCGGUAAUACGGGGGGAGCAAGCGUUGUUCGGAUUUACUGGGCGUAAAGGGCGCGUAGACGGCCACCGCAAGUCGAUUGUGAAAUCUCCGGGCUUAACCCGGAAAGGUCAACCGAUACUGCGGGGCUAGAGUGCAGAAGGGGCAACUGGAAUUCUCGGUGUAGCGGUGAAAUGCGUAGAUAUCGAGAGGAACACCUGCGGCGAAGGCGGGUUGCUGGGCUGACACUGACGCUGAAGUGCGAAAGCUAGGGGAGCGAACGGGAUUAGAUACCCCGGUAGUCCUAGCCUUAAACGAUGAAUGCUUGGUGUCUGGGGUUUUAUAGUCCCCGGGUGCCGUCGCUAACGCUUUAAGCAUUCCGCCUGGGGAGUACGGUCGCAAGACUGAAACUCAAAGGAAUUGACGGGGACCCGCACAAGCGGUGGAGCAUGUGGUUUAAUUCGACGCAACGCGAAGAACCUUACCUGGGCUAGAAUGCCUCUGACAGCCCCAGAGAUGGGGUCUCCUGGGUAAAACCAGGCAGAGUGCAAGGUGUUGCAUGGCUGUCGUCAGCUCGUGUCGUGAGAUGUUGGGUUAUGUCCCGCAACGAGCGCAACCCUCGUCCUUAGUUGCCACCAUUCAGUUGGGCACUCUAGGGGGACUGCCGGCGUUAAGCCGGAGGAAGGUGGGGACGACGUCAAGUCAUCAUGGCCCUUAUGUCCAGGGCCACACACGUGCUACAAUGGGCGGUACAAAGGGUCGCAAACCCGCGAGGGGGAGCCAAUCCCAAAAAGCCGCUCUCAGUUCGGAUUGGAGUCUGCAACUCGAC